GCGAAAGCAUUUGCCAAGAAUGUUUCCAUUAAUCAAGAACGAAAGUUAGAGGUUCGAAGGCGAUCAGAUACCGCCCUAGUUCUAACCAUAAACGAUGCCAGCCAGCGAUCCGGCUGUGUUCCUCAAAUGACACGCCGGGCAGCUUCCGGGAAACCAAAGCUUUUGGGUUCCGGGGGAAGUAUGGUUGCAAAGCUGAAACUUAAAGGAAUUGACGGAAGGGCACCACCAGGAUUGGAGCUUGCGGUUUAAUUUGACUCAACACGGGACAACCUACCCGGCCCGGACACAGGAAGGAUUGACAGAUUAAGAGCUCUUUCUUGAUUCUGUGGGUGGUGGUGCAUGGCCGUUCUUAGUUGGUGGACUGAUUUGUCUGGUUAAUUCCGUUAACGAACGAGACUCUAGCCUACUAAAUAGACGUUCCGAUUAUUUAUUUUUCGGACGUUCUUCUUAGAGGGACAAUCGGCGCUUAGCCCGAUGAGACAGAGCAAUAACAGGUCUGUGAUGCCCUUUGAUGUCCGGGGCCACACGCGUGCUACAUUGAAGGAAUCAGCGUGUGCUUUCCCUGUCCGACAGGACUGGGUAACCCGUUGAACCUCCUUCGUGCUGGGGAUAGGGGCUUGUAAUUGUUCCCCUUGAACGAGGAAUUCCUAGUAAGCACGAAUCAUCAGUUCGUGUUGACUAAGUCCCUGCCCUUUGUCCACACCGCCCGUCGCU
rnacentral:rRNA from 4 species